ACUGCAUUUGGAGCAUCGAGCACCCACCACCAAUUCCUGAAUUCCUGGGCGCCGUAGCUCGCCUCUCCAAUCUCAGAAAGAGCAAUACUGCGCGUCAGUAACGAUGGCAAAGAACUUGUCGACCUCCGUUCAGCUGCUUCUCGUCCUCAUCGUUUUACUGGCUUUUGUCGGCGGCAUCCUUGGAGGAGGUGGACCAAGCAGCUGCUCGAACAACCCGGCUGUCCAGCAUUCCUGCCCGCCAAUCCCUGGAAGAGGGCACUAAUCGAUCCAUCGAUGAUGGGGGAGGAAUUCGCGUUCCAUUUAAUUUCUACACAUCGGGGGAUUUGAAGCUUAGCAAGUUUAGUACUACUAUACAUGAAACAACUACUCUAUGUUUUUAAGGUGAUCGUGUGUUCGUGUUGGUGUUCCCAUGUCCUUGCAGUGUCCUGCUUUACCAACAUAAUAAAACGGACAGCAUAAUUAUCCGAUGAACUGUAUCCGGUCAGCUAGCUUUUGUGGUUGAGUAUUCAGCGUCUGGUGUCCAAUGCCAAGUUAUCUCAUCC